AGUUUCUUUGCCUAACUCUGAGUUGCUUGAGUCACAUUUUUGCAUGGUUCUUGAUUGACUUUCUGGUGCUCUGCCUGGAGGUCUUUGCUUAUCUGUGAGUUGCCUGAGUCACAUUUUUACAUGGUUCUGGUGCUCUGCCUGCAGGUCAAGAAGGAGCCAGUAUCUCCAGGAGGAGUGAGAGAGUGCUCUGCCAGUGUGAAGUGUGAAUCCUUGAGAGGCUGUGGCAAGGGUCCAUGCCUGAAUGUGUAGAACAAGAACAGCUGGAGGCUGUGGCUUUCUCCAGGAAGAGGUUUCUAAAUCUGCCUCUUAGAAGAUAUCAGAAAGUUAAAGUUUCUCUUGCUGCCGCCGUGUAAGAAGGACCUUUUGCCUCCCACCAUGAUUCUAAGUCCUCCCCAGCCACGUGGAACUGCUUUCAUUUGGUCUCUUUUCGAAUCAGAAGACCCAGAAAACUUGGAUCCACUUCUGGCUCUCAUCCCUCUGGGCAGUGUGAUUUGGAGAGCAAAAACCAUGAUAAACUCCCUUUGCAUCUUUUGUAAGAGAGCUAGACAAACGCCGGAGAGUUUCUCUGCAGUUGUGUGACCUUGGGUAGUUUCUUCAACUACAGAAAGAGAGGUAAUAAUAACUAAUGUGGAGGCUGUUGUGAGCAUGAGGAAUAAUUUAAGGAAGAGCACCUGGUACAUGGCAAAUGUCCCAUAAACAUAAUUGCUGUUGUUAUUAAUAAUAACGUGAA
rnacentral:lncRNA from 1 species